rnacentral:rRNA from 1 species
CCCUUAGAUGUUCUGGGCCGCACGCGCGCUACACUGAUGAAUUCAACGAGCCUAGCCUUGUCCGAAAGGUCCGGGUAAUCUCUGAAACUUCAUCGCGAUGGGGAUAGAUCAUUGCAAUUAUUGAUCUUCAACGAGGAAUUCCUAGUAAGCGCAAGUCAUCAGCUUGCGUUGAUUACGUCCCUGCCCUUUGUACACACCGCCCGUCGCUUGUACCGAUUGGAUGGUCCGGUGAAAUCUUCGGAUAGCUGGUAGUUGGCUUGCCAUCUACUGCUAAAAGUUGCUUAAACCUUAUCAUCUAGAGGAACAAGAAGUCGUAACA